CAGAUCAUAUCUGUUAGUUGAAAUUUCAUUUACGCUGAAUAAUUGUGUCGUGCGAUUCGACAUGGUCUGA
rnacentral:tRNA from 1 species